rnacentral:misc_RNA from 1 species
AAAAAUCUUUCAUGAGCAGAGUUAAACCCAAUUUCCUGAGAUAACAUUAAAAUAGUAGGAAACUUCUUUACCAAUACCACACUCAGAAAAUAAACAGCUGCAUCUCCCAUCCUCUUCUCAUAAAUAAAUGGGAGGAACAAGACAUAAUGAAAUAAGGUGUACUCGCCCCAUCUUUCCUCAGAAGAAAACAUUUGACGCACAUAUGCAGUCCUUUCUAACUUAAGAUAGCCUUCACAGAUAACAUAGAAUUAAGCCAAAAACAACAACAUGAAACAAUUUACGUACAACAGCGGUUUCACAGGUGAUGAUCAUGCAGGUAUUAAGAUUUU